AGAAAAAGAAAGUAAAUGACUGCAAAACUGGGCAUUAUUAUUCCCGAUCCCUUGACAUACAGAUGAUAUAAUCCAUCUUGCAAGUCUAUCCUGGACCAGUGGCUGAGCCUAGGGAAUAAGUAGAUCUCUAAAAAUAACAUUAUACAGAGAUGUUUCAUGAAGCACAAUUUUCAUUAAGUUUAUUUCAUUCUGAAGCAAUGGGACACUAAGUCUUAACAGUACAACUGAAUUUAUUGAUGUAAAUCGGGUUGAAUUAUGGAUAAAAAAAGAACUAUUCCUGUUCUAUUGUCAGCAGUGGUACUCCACACAGUGGCAAAAUCUGACCUGACAGUUUCCUUUCACAUGUGAAUUUACCUGAGAGCUAUAAAUGCUGACCCCUGCAGCAGUAAGGUCUCUUUAAUUGGCUGGGGGUUUGUUGUCACCAAAGCUUACAAUGGUUGGCUUUGCCAUUUUUCUUUCUUACUUUUAGAUUUGAGAAAACAACUGUAUCACUACUAGCGUUUCACUUGCUGAGGAAGAAAAAAUCGGUAUUAGCUUCAGCUUCAAAACCAGCAGACACAGCUCUUUUAAGUGUACUUUCCAGUCCUUUCCAACUUUGAGGCACAUAUAACUUCACAGCAAGAUGCAGGGAAAGCAGAAAGAACGAAAUGGCUAAAAGCCCAGAAAGUCAGAAAAAAGCCUCCAAAAUUGCCAUUGCCUGUCUAUUUUAUAAAUAUCCUUUGGGCAGUUGAUGCAUUUUUCAGACAUUAAAUUAUCUUCUAUUUGGAUUUAUAUUUACUUGUAAAUGAGGCAAAUCUGUUAGGAUUAUGGCAUUACCAAAAGGAACCUAUGUGAGAAUUUCAUCUCCAUUGCUGAAAAGGUUACUAUUUUUUUACCUGCUUUCCUUGAGUGAAAAAAACCUGAAUGUCUGGGUGUAACUGCUGGAUAACAAAGCAGAACUAUUUUUUUCAACAGGAGGGCUGCAAAUUGUAUAGUACUGGAGAAGCUAAAAAUAUCAACUUUUUCUCUGUGUUCUUGUAAUUUCCUCUAAUUUAAGGUAAAAAAUGGUCAGACUGCUCUUUUAGAAUAAAAUGUGUCUGCAGUGCAGUGUUGCUCCAACAAGAUCAAACCAACCCCACUCUGACAUCCACACGAUGCCAUGGUGAUGAAAAUAAGCUUUACAAAUUUUCCUUGGAUGUACCACCAUGCUAUUACAAGUCUUUGUUCCCUUUUCCCAGAACCAGUUGUCCUGUAGCUAUUGACUUGAAGUCUCUGGCCUGCACACACUUCCCCCUUGUCUGCAGCUGAGGCUCCACAAGCAGAGACUGAAGUUGGAAGAUAACAGUAAAAACCUCACACAUAGGCUUUAGUAUGGUUGGUUGGUUCCCCCUUUAAAAACUGGAAUAUCUGAAAUAUUAAAUACAAGUGUUUUACAAAAUAUUUCCAGGUAAAUGCAAAAACUGAUUUAAAUUUGAAGCAAAAGUCCAUAAAAAAAGUGACAGGAAAAAUGUUAAAUAUUUCUGCUUUUGUCCAUAUUUUUUGGCAAGCUAGAGACAUAUAUCACACUUAGGUAUCCUAAUAAAAGAACCUCAAACUGAAAAAAUUACUAUGUGUUCUUGUCUAUCAGGUCAGUGCUGUUAGAGAUGAGUUUAGAGCUGCCAGAUAUGACUUUAUACAGCCAGUCAUUGCCCUUGCAGCUGAUUUUGCUCACCCUGUCAACAGACUCCAUUAUUUCUUUUGAAGGCCAUUCAGUGAAAUAACUUGUACAGCUUUUUUGCCUGGUUUUGGUGAUAUAUCAUUGCAAAGGACACAUUUUUCCAGAAGUAUGUGAGCCAGCUACUUCCCAAACAUGUGGAUGCUCCAAGAUAUUGCAGGAGUAUGAGAAUCCUUCCAGUACUGAUGAUUCUGCACAAAAUUCAGCUGAACAUUGCAAAAUCGAAGACGACAUAGGCUGUAAAGCCUGUGCAUUAAUUUAGUGAAGACCAUGUGGAUUUCAGGUAGUUCUAAGAUCACACAAUGCAUGGUUACAGUAACAUAGAUUUUGCUUCAGAAAACACUACAAUGGCCAUCUAUUCUGACCUAUCUUUUUUCCCAGCCUAGCAUUUCAGACAUACUUGCCAUGGAGAGGUGAUUACUUCAUCUUGCAGAAGAAAAGCUGAUUCUGGGGAAGAUGAUGCAACAUUUUGACUCACUGCUCCCUGGCUGACAGCAUGGAGUACUGCUCUGUUCUAAGAAGAAUGACCUGUGGGAAGCAUAGUCUUUAACAGACAGUGUUGGGCCUUUGAGAUUUUCAGGGCUAACAAAGGCAAAUCACAUAUGAUCUUGACAGUCUUUGAAGUUCUAUAAUAGUCAGAGCACAAUUUGUAGCUCUUCUGGCAGCCACCAAGUAAUUUCACACAGACAUGCUAGAAGGCCUGGCUACGUAUUCCUGUGCUACAUAUGGAGUGGGCAACAGUGCCCUGCACUUGGAAGACCCAGCAGAUGAGGUCUGUCUCAUCAAGGUCAAAGCCCUUGCAGAGUCAUACAGUUCAGCCAGUUCCUCUGAGGUGUCUCUAGAUGAACAUUUGGAUCAGUUCUGUAGCUCAGAAGAAACCAGGGCCAAUUUUUGUACCCCUGAGAUUUUCUCCUAAGUGCAAACAACGUUUUAAUGCUGCUUAGAUGUGAAUAGUUUCUACAGAGAAUAUUUUCAUCUUUUAUGCUGCUACAAACCAACAAACAGAACAUGAUACUGGACACAGUGUUGCUACAUAUCCUUUCACAUUUCUUCAUAAUUGCUGAUUAUUUUUACAGUGUUACAUAACUGUACUUCGGAUCACAGCUAGCAUUACAAGGCUGGAACCCUAUGAUUCUGUAACAGCUUCAGGUUGUGCCAUCUCUCCAGUAAUCCCUUCUCCCUUCUACUCGUGAUGUGAAAACACCUGGACCAGGCAGAGAAAUUGUUCAGAAUUGUAUUGUACAAACAACAAUAUCAGAGUUAUGUGAUUCAGUAACUUUCCUCAGGACACCAGUGAUUAUUCUGUCCUCAUUUUGGGGAUUGCUGUGCUGACUAGAACAGUAACAGUAAUAACAAUUAACAACGUAUUUUAAUUUGAGGUAGGUGAGAAAGAAAUAUAGAAAGAAGGAAAAUAAAAAGA